UAACACAUGCAAGUCGAACGAGACCUUCGGGUCUAGUGGCGCACGGGUGCGUAACGCGUGGGAACCUGCCUUUAGGUUCGGGAUAACUCCUCGAAAGGGGUGCUAAUACCGGAUGAUGUCUUCGGACCAAAGAUUUAUCGCCUUUAGAUGGGCCCGCGUUGGAUUAGCUUGUUGGUGAGGUAAAGGCUCACCAAGGCGACGAUCCAUAGCUGGUCUUAGAGGAUGAUCAGCCACACUGGGACUGAGACACGGCCCAGACUCCUACGGGAGGCAGCAGUGGGGAAUAUUGGACAAUGGGCGAAAGCCUGAUCCAGCAAUGCCGCGUGAGUGAUGAAGGCCUUAGGGUUGUAAAGCUCUUUUACCCGGGAUGAUAAUGACAGUACCCGGGAGAAUAAGCCCCG
rnacentral:rRNA from 1 species